CGUCCAUCUCGAGCGGCCGAGAGACCCGGCUCCGCGACGCCGCAGCAACCCUCUCCACGUGUGGUGCGGGGUGCUUCCGCCGGGAUUCGAUGGAGG
rnacentral:ncRNA from 2 species